rnacentral:rRNA from 1 species
GUCCACGCCGUAAACGAUGUCUACUAGCCGUUGGAGUCCUUGAGGCUUUAGUGGCGCAGCUAACGCACUAAGUAGACCGCCUGGGGAGUACGGUCGCAAGAUUAAAACUCAAAUGAAUUGACGGGGGCCCGCACAAGCGGUGGAGCAUGUGGUUUAAUUCGACGCAACGCGAAGAACCUUACCAGGUCUUGACAUCUAGAGAAUUCGCCAGAGAUGGCUUAGUGCCUUCGGGAACUCUAAGACAGGUGCUGCAUGGCUGUCGU